CCGGGAACUGCGUGCGGGCGGAGCGGUGCGGGACGGCCUCGAGUGCGGCCCCCCCCCCGCCGUCCGCCGUCCGCUCCCAACCCCCUCCCGCUGACCGCGCGGCUGAUUUAUGGAGAGCGAUGUUUUAGCAGAAAUCCCCCAGAGUCGCCCAUCAGCCCUAAAUCCCCAACCUGCUCUCCCUGGGAGACCUCAUGACACAGAGCAUGCCAAAACAGCUCCGUUUUGCCUAUGCAUUAGCAAUCUAUUUUACCUUUUUGACAUCUCUCACACAUAAAACCGUAAGAGAGAAAUAAAAUAUCUGUCUCUGGGCGAAAAUAAAGCUUUGCCUCCCUCCUGAUCUAUAGGAUAUAAAAUAAAGCCAUGGCUUUGAUAGUGGCUUUUCCUUAUACCGGAGUUGCUUUUGCACACACGGAGACAAUGAAGAUGGAUGAGCGGGGAUCGGUGCCUCCUCUCGGGGUUUGUUUCACCCUUUUUUAUCGUCUCCCCCUCCCCGCACCUCUUUACUUUUCUUUCUUUCUCUUUGAUUCGCCUUUCCCUGCCCUCCCUCGCUCUCCCCGGUGCGCACAGCCCCGUUCCCCGCGGCCGGGCUCGGCUCCAUCCCGGCCCAUCGCGGCCCCUUCCCGUUGUUUCCCGACCCCUCCCGGCCCUUUCCCAACCCCUCCCGGUGCUUCCCAGCUCCUCCCGGCCCGGCGGCAGCCCUCACUCAGACGCGCACACCGUCGGAGCUGUAAUUAUUUAUUAACUGUAUUUUCCCAUAAACAACUCGGGAGCUUUGGAUGUAAGCGACGACAUUUAGCGACUUGCAGAGAACCCCGGGGGGGCUCGUCCGGGCUGGGGGGGGGGGGGGGGGAGGAGAGGGGCGGGGCCGUGCGUUACCCCUGCAUCGCACCGCGGGCGGCACAGCGACCCGGGGCACCGCUCCGCAACUCCGAGGGCUUUUCGGCGCUCGUUGGCACCGACGCGGAGCGGCGUCCCGUCCGGCCGUGGGGAGCGCAGGGCUGUGCCACGGCCGGGAGCACCGCCGCACCGCGCUGUUCGCUCGGGGAGAUGUCCGAACCGGGAGGGAGACGUCCCAUCUCCGGGCAGACCUUUGUUCAGGCGGCGCCCCGGCCCCGCGCCCUCUCACUGCGGGGAAAGUUGCGGGAAAGGUGCAGCGAGCCGUGCGGGGCCGAGGGGAGCCCAACGGACUCCCG
rnacentral:lncRNA from 1 species